rnacentral:tRNA from 1 species
AAAGUUAAUUACAUUAAGCUUCUAACUUAAUCUAAGCGUUAAAUCGUUAAACUUUU